rnacentral:ncRNA from 1 species
UUCUUCGGGGUUGGGUGUAAUUCCCUACUGGCGGUAAAGUCCGCGACCCGCUGCAGGAAACUUCGGCGGCUGACUCGGUGAAAGUCCGGGACCAACAGUAAAGUCUGGAUGAAAGAAGAA